AACGAACGCUGGCGGCGCGCCUAAUACAUGCAAGUCGAGCGAGAAGACGUAGCAAUACGUUUGUAAAGCGGCGAACGGGUGAGGAAUACAUGGGUAACCUACCCUCGAGUGGGGAAUAACUAGCCGAAAGGUUAGCUAAUACCGCGUACGCUCCUUGGACUUCGGUUCAGGGAGGAAAGCGAUACCGUGGGUAUCGCGCUCUUGGAUGGGCUCAUGUCCUAUCAGCUUGUUGGUGAGGUAACGGCUCACCAAGGCUUCGACGGGUAGCUGGUCUGAGAGGACAAUCAGCCACACUGGCACUGCGACACGGGCCAGACUCCUACGGGAGGCAGCAGUAAGGAAUAUUGCGCAAUGGGCGAAAGCCUGACGCAGCGACGCCGCGUGGGGGAGUGAAGGUC
rnacentral:rRNA from 1 species